rnacentral:rRNA from 1 species
UACAGAGGGUGCGAGCGUUAAUCGGAAUUACUGGGCGUAAAGCGCGCGUAGGCGGCUUUGCAAGUCGGGUGUGAAAUCCCUAAGCUUAACUUGGGAACUGCAUUCGAGACUGCAUUGCUAGAGUAUGGGAGAGGGAAGUGGAAUUUCCGGUGUAGCGGUGAAAUGCGUAGAUAUCGGAAGGAACAUCAGUGGCGAAAGCGACUUCCUGGACCAAUACUGACGCUCAUGUGCGAAAGCGUGGGGAGCAAACAGG